UACGUAGGGUGCAAGCGUUAAUCGGAAUACUGGGCGUAAAGCGUGCGCAGGCGGUUAUGUAAGACAGAUGUGAAAUCCCCGGGCUCAACCUGGGAACCUGCAUUUGUGACUGCAUAGCUAGAGUACGGUAGAGGGGGAUGGAAUUCCGCGUGUAGCAGUGAAAUGCGUAGAUAUGCGGAGGAACACCGAUGGCGAAGGCAAUCCCCUGGACCUGUACUGACGCUCAUGCACGAAAGCGUGGGGAGCAAACAGG
rnacentral:rRNA from 1 species